UUUGGUGCGGGGAAUUUUUCUACCUACGCUUGCUUCAAAGAUGACACCGAUAAUAAUGGUUGGGUGAAGUUUGUACGAAUUACGACCGCCUUUGGGACCUCCCUACUGGGUCUGGGACUUCUGGUUCACCUUGUGUACUUGCUGAAGAAAACCCCAACACUGAAGACAUUUUCAGCUGGGGUUAUGUUUAUUGCAGGAGUCCUAUUUUUCAUCAUCACGUGUGUAAUAAUUGACCGCAUUAAAAACCUGACGAAUGGAUAUUCCGCCAUUCUCUUCUUCCCUAACAGGGACACGAUUCUCCGCCCCCACACCUUGCCCAUCAUGUUCAUGUCCUUUAGCUUCCUCCUCGCGACCAUCGUCGCUGUGGGGUUAUUGAUAAACAUGGACUACAAACCGGUCCCGCCCAGAGAUCCCUUCCUAGAGCGCUCAACCAGUGUACAGCAGGCUAAAGCUACCUCACGUGUCUAGCAAAACAGAAGAAUAAGAAGAAGAUGAUGACGAUAAUGAUGAUGAUGAUGAUGAUGAUGAUGAAGAACAUGACAAUAGGGACCACAAAAUGACUUCACGUGCAAAGUCCACUUGAUUUUCCCCAUCAAAUUGAUGGAGCAGAGUGAUCAUAGUGAUCAUUGUAUCAAUGUUUCAUUUAACUUUUGUCAUAGUCAUUAUAUAUCACAUACUGCUGCAAAAAGAUUAAAACAAGUUUGGAUUUUGUUA
rnacentral:misc_RNA from 1 species